ACGAACGCUGGCGGCGUGCUUAACACAUGCAAGUCGAACGGAAAGGCCCCUUUGGGGGUACUCGAGUGGCGAACGGGUGAGUAACACGUGAGUAACCUGCCCUUGACUUCGGGAUAACUUCAGGAAACUGGGGCUAAUACCUGAUAGGAAUCCUUGCUGCAUGGUGGGGGUUGGAAAGCUUCGGCGGUUUUGGAUGGACUCGCGGCUUAUCAGCUUGUUGGUGGGGUAGUGGCUUACCAAGGCUUUGACGGGUAGCCGGCCUGAGAGGGCGACCGGCCACAUUGGGACUGAGAGACGGCCCAGACUCCUACGGGAGGCAGCAGUGGGGAAUAUUGCACAAUGGGCGGAAGCCUGAUGCAGCAACGCCGCGUGCGGGAUGACGGCCUUCGGGUUGUAAACCGCUUUCAGCAGGGGCGAAGCUUGUGGUGACGGUACCUGCAGAAGAAGCACCGGCUAACUACGUG
rnacentral:rRNA from 1 species